GUUGCUGUCUUCAUCCAGCGCAAGCAGAUCCUUCUUGAGCUUAACAAGGAGCGUUGGACAUGGACGCAAUGGCAAGCGGCAAGAAGUCGGAGCCCCGCAAGCUGGACUUUGGGUCCUCAACCCCAACUCGCCCAUCAUCUUCGAGAAGGCCGAGGGAUCGGCCCUCUUCC